UAAGCCUGACAAUAUGAGCUUUAGCCCGGCUGCUAGCAGCUUUCUGGCAACUCUGUGGUUAAAAAAUGGCCCGGCGACAUCGUGAUAAGUAACUUUGCAUUAAUCAGGGGAUUUAGUUUCCCUUUGCAGCGAACAUAAAACACGGCCUACUGUAGCUUC